rnacentral:lncRNA from 1 species
GCCGAAACGAAACGGGACCCCGAUACACAUUCUUAUACAACUAGAUUGAGUUUUCCGUACUGAGAGUAGAAGUCCUAGUUUUGAGUUCCAUCCUUCAAUCCAUCCUAGGAGUCGCUUCAUUCUUAUACUUAUUAGUUUCAUUCCUGUUUCUUUCUUGCGGUAUUUCAUUAUCUUAUCUAUUAGCUGGAUUCCGAGCUAUGAGUCAAAGUACUAGCGCUUUUCUUACUCAAGUCGUCUUAGUUGCAAGAUCAAGUCUUAUCGACAGCAGUGCCAGUUUGCAAGCGAAUAGCGGUAGACUUCUUCGUGUAUAAGCGGGCUCUAUAAAUGAGUAAGCAAUGCUUGGUGCGCUAAAGUAGGCUUGUAGUUUGUGGUUAAAGAAAGCGAGCUAGG